AAUGAACGUUGGCGGCGUGGAUUAGGCAUGCAAGUCGUGCGAGAAGUCUUUUGCUUGCAUUAGACGGAAAGCGGCGAAAGGGAGAGUAACGCGUGGGUACCUACCUCUAGGUUCGGGAUAGCUGCGGGAAACUGUGGGUAAUACCGAAUAACAUCUCCGGAUCCAAGGUGUGAUUCCGCCUGGAGACGGGCCCGCGUCCUAUUAGCGUGUUGGUGGGUAAUGGCUUACCAAGGCAAUGAUGGGUAUCGGGCGUGAGAGCGUGACCCGACUCACUGGGACUGAGACACUGCCCAGACACCUACGGGUGGCUGCAGUCGAGAAUCUUCGGCAAUGGGCGCAAGCCUGACCGAGCGACGCCGCGUGCGGGAUGAAGGCCCUCGAGUUGUAAACCGCUGUCAGUUGGGAGGAAAUCACAUGGGGUUCUCUUCAUGUGUUGACCUAUCUUCAGAGGAAGGACGGGCUAAGUUCGUGCCAGCAGCCGCCGUAAGAC
rnacentral:rRNA from 1 species